GUCCUUGUCGAUUAGUGGUUAAAUCAUCUCGUUGUGGUACAGCAGCUCCGAGAAGCCGCAGGCUCGAAUCCUGCCAGGGACA